rnacentral:rRNA from 1 species
ACGGGUGCGUAACGCGUGGGAAUCUGCCCUUGGGUUCGGAAUAACUCAGAGAAAUUUGAGCUAAUACCGGAUGAUGACGUAAGUCCAAAGAUUUAUCGCCCAGGGAUGAGCCCGCGUAAGAUUAGGUAGUUGGUGGGGUAAAGGCCUACCAAGCCGACGAUCUUUAGCUGGUCUGAGAGGAUGAUCAGCCACACUGGGACUGAGACACGGCCCAGACUCCUACGGGAGGCAGCAGUGGGGAAUAUUGGACGAUGGGCGAAAGCCUGAUCCAGCAAUGCCGCGUGAGUGAUGAAGGCCCUAGGGUUGUAAAGCUCUUUUACCCGGGAAGAUAAUGACUGUACCGGGAGAAUAAGCCCCGGCUAACUCCGUGCCAGCAGCCGCGGUAAUACGGAGGGGGCUAGCGUUGUUCGGAAUUACUGGGCGUAAAGCGCACGUAGGCGGCUUUUCAAGUCAGAGGUGAAAGCCUGGAGCUUAACUCCAGAACUGCCUUUGAAACUAGAAAGCUAGAAUCAUGGAGAGGUGAGUGGAAUUCCGAGUGUAGAGGUGAAAUUCGUAGAUAUUCGGAAGAACACCAGUGGCGAAGGCGGCUCACUGGACAUGUAUUGACGCUGAGGUGCGAAAGCGUGGGGAGCAACA